GAGCUGAAUAUCCAACCCCGGGGCCAUUCCCUGGGAUCACACUCUGAGAUCCUGACACAGGGAAGCUUCCCCUGGGAAUGGGAGGUGGGAGGGAACUGAGCGCUCUGGGGGACUGUGGGCUGGGUUUAAGGGGGAAAAUUCCUAAAGCCUUCUCCCAAUACAUUGUCUGUGAAGUGUUGACUCAUCAAAUCCUCCUAACAUCUACGUUCCUGGCACCGUGCUAGUCCCGGGAAUCAGUGGUCAACAGCCCCGCGCCCGGGGUGGCUGGGGAGACAGACAACACAGGAGCACAAAUAAACGUGCUUUCUUGCAGGAGGACGGGGCAGGGGCGACCCGUGCAGCGCCCGGCCGAUCGAUCGCCGGAGUCGGCUUCCUCCCUUCAGUCCGCUCGGGCCGGGCCCAGCGCCGCCCAGCACCGGCAGCCAGAAGGAAUGCGUUGAGCGACGCUUGCAUUCCAAGCACGCGGUUCUGCUCUCCCAGGAGCCGGUUCCCGGACCGCCCCAGGCCCUCCCGGGGCAGCCAGGGCCUCUCCAGGCCUCCGGGGGCCUCCUGCCCUGCCUUACCCACCCCCUGCCGGAGCGCCGCCCAGGGGGGCGAAGGGAGGGCCUGACCGGAGGGAGCGAGCUAACCUGUGUAGGGGGGGACGCUGGGUGCCAGCAGGUGCCCUUCCAGCAGCCCCACCAGGGACUUGCCCGGGACUGCAACGUGGUCUAGAAGGACCGGGGCAAGGCGGCCCCAGGGGCCUCAGGAAUCCCAAGGAUCCUGUUUUUCUGUUGCAGAAAAAAACCAAACAUUUCAAAUAAAAAUCCUAAGGUUGGCAUUUAGGGGCCCAACCAACCCUUCCAAUCAGGUUUCUGGUAACUUUGUCUUCUUUUCUCCUCCCUGCUGAAGUCCUUGUCUUAGGGUCUGUGACUGACGGCGCCCGUCCCAGAGCAGCACCAGGUGGCAAUCAACACUCCAAGGUUGGCUUGACGCUUGACCAGCAUCCUGCCCUCGUUUCCUGAACACCUGCUGUGCAAGGCUCUGGGUGGUUCUGCAAGAUGAAUCAUUUAAGCAGUCACUUACUCAACAAACCUUUUUUUGAGCACUUGCUACUUUGUAUGGGCUUAUUUAUUUAUAGCAUGCCUUGUUCCAGAAAACACAUAACAGAACUUCUGUAUUUGAGAGACUAAAAUUUUAAAGGUGUGGUCACGGGACGAGUGACAAAUGGAAAACAGAAGUUGAAAAGGUCAGAAGAGCCCAGGAAUGAAACAGCGAUCCAAAGUACAGGCCUUGAGGUCCUACGUGGUACAGAGACAGGCUACAGGUUGUCCUCUGAGCUUUCCAGCAGCCAAAACCAGAUCCCACGCCGUUCGGGAUCCAUGAACCAGUUGCAAGAGGAGAAACAUGACUCACGUAGGUCCCAGGACCAGAGAGGCCUUUUCCCGGUGCGUUCGCAGAAGAGACAGAGCAUCAUCAAACAUAGGGAGCGAUGUCCACAACGCUGCACAUACAACACAGGUGUCAGGGGACCUUUCCCGUAGGCCCUCCAUGCUGGCCCAAGUCCUGCAGCCUUUCUGCAGCAGGGAGAGGAUGACAGCACAGGGCAAGCAUGCCUCACCCCGGCUUAAUCCAUCUGCAGUGUUUGUAGGAAACAUUUACAGCAAACUUGCAGUCAACUGGCUAAAUGCAGUCCUCGGGUGAGCUUUGUUUGGCCUGAGAAGGAUAUUUAAAUUGAUUGGAUUACAAGGGGGUACAUGAAUCCUGAUGUUCAUACCAGCGUUAUCAACAAUAGGCAAAUCACAGGGGCACCCGGGGGCUCAGUCGGUUGAGCAUCUGACUUCAGCCCAGGUCAUGAUCUCAUGUUCAUGAGUUCGACCCCCACGUCCGGCUCUGUGCUGACAGCUCAGAGCCUGGAGCCUGCUUCGGAGUCUGUGUCUCCCUCUCUCUCUCUCUCUGUCUCUGCCCCUCCUCCACUUGUGCUCUGUCUCUCUCUCUCUCCCUCUCUCUCAAAAAUAAAUA